rnacentral:lncRNA from 1 species
AAAUAAUCUCUGGAAAUAGAACAUGAUAGCAACGCAAGGAACUCCUUCCCUUUUGGCACUGGCCGCUCUUCUCGAAAUAAACAGGGCUCACUUUGCACAGGUUGCUCCAGGCACUGAGACAUGAUGAACAUCCUUCUGGAAGUCCUGAUCAGCUCAUACCAGACCAGCACUGCCAGCUCUUAUUUGCCAUGGGGAAGGUAAACGGAUGCAGAGCGGAUUCAGGUGUCGGUAGAGCCCCUACAUCCAGCGCUGAGUAGCAGCAUUCAGCGGCUCACUGGCCGCUUCGAAAUCCUGCAGGCACGAUGGGACGUGAAAACGAAGGCCAGCGUUACCGCUGCUUGAAGCAGCCCCCUCGGGAGUUUUGUCUGAGAGCGGGAGGACGGUCCGGCGAGCAGCGCUCUGCAGAAACGGGUCUUCGCAAAAGGCUGGUUGUGAUCUUGUCGCGUUGGGCAGGCAGCGUGAGUUAUCACCUAGCCUUGAAAUCUCCAAACUGCUUUGCAACCUGGCAACUGAGCAGCGUUGGGGAGAUGGAGGCUGCAGUUCCACGAUGCAAAGUGUUCGGCUGCGAUGCCAGCUUCCCGCGAUGGCUCUGCUGCUCUUUCUGUGCAUGGGACCGGCCUGCGGUGUGAUAGGGCUGUGCUGGGGCCUGAACAGGGAGCUUGGAGCUGUCUAAAAAAACCCAAAUAAACGGCAAGCCAACUUUUAUUUCUGGUAGUUG